rnacentral:rRNA from 1 species
UACGUAGGGGGCUAGCGUUGUCCGGAAUCAUUGGGCGUAAAGCGCGUGUAGGCGGUCCGGUAAGUCCGCUGUGAAAGUCGGGGGGCUCAACCCUCGGAUGCCGGUGGAUACUGUCGGGCUUGAGUACAGAUGAGGUAGGCGGAAUUGACGGUGUAGCGGUGAAAUGCAUAGAUAUCGUCAAGAACACCGAUAGCGAAAGGCAGCUUACUGGGCUGUAACUGACGCUGAUGCACGAAAGUGUGGGGGAUCAAACAGG